UUGACCUCGGAUCAGGUAGGACUACCCGCUGAACUUAAGCAUAUCAAUAAGCGGAGGAAAAGAAACCAACAGGGAUUGCCCCAGUAACGGCGAGUGAAGCGGCAACAGCUCAGAUUUGGAAUCUGGCCCCCAGGGCCCGAGUUGUAAUCUGGAGAGGAUGCUUCUGGCGCGGCGCCUUCCGAGUUCCCUGGAACGGGACGCCGGAGAGGGUGAGAGCCCCGUACGGUUGGACGCCUAGCCUUUGUGAAGCUCCUUCGACGAGUCGAGUAGUUUGGGAAUGCUGCUCAAAAUGGGAGGUAAAUUUCUUCUAAAGCUAAAUACCGGCCAGAGACCGAUAGCGCACAAGUAGAGUGAUCGAAAGAUGAAAAGCACUUUGAAAAGAGGG
rnacentral:rRNA from 26 species